rnacentral:lncRNA from 7 species
CUGCAGGGCGACCAUAGGGACCCCAUAGGGAUGCGGUGGGGAUACAUAGGGAUGUAUGGGGAGCCCAUAGGGAUGCGUGGGGAGCCCAUAGGGAUACAUGGGGAGCCAUAGGGAGCGUGGGGACCCCAUAGGGAUACAUAGGGAGCCCAUAGGGAUAUCAUGGGGAGCCCAUAGGGAUACAUGGGGACGCAUAGAGACCCCAUAGAGACCCCAUAGGGAUACAUGGGGAGCCCAUAGGGAUGCAUGGGGAGCCCAUAGGGAUGUGUGGGGACAUAGGGAUACAAUGGGGAUACUGGGGAGCCCAUAGGAUAACAUGGGAACAUAGAGACCCCAUAGAGACCCCCAUAGGGAUACAUGGGGAGCCCAUGGGAUACAUGGGACCAUAGAGACCCCAUAAGAGACCCCAUAGGGAUACCAUGGGGAGCCCAUAGGGAUGCAUGGGGAGCCCAUAGGGAUGUGUGGGGACCAUAGGGAUACAUGGGGAUACAUGGGGACCCAUAGGGAUACAUGGGGACCAUAUAGACCCCAUAGGGAUGCAUGGGGAGCCCAUAGGGGGAUGCAUGGGGACAUAGAGACCCCAUAGGGAUGCGUGGGGAGCCCAUAGGGAUGCAUGGGGAUACAUGGGGAGCCAUAGGGAUGCAUGGGGAGCCCAUAGGGAUACAUGGGGAGCCCAUAGGGAUGUAUGGGGAGCCUAUAGGGACAUGGGGAGCCCAUAGGGAUGCAUGGGGACCCAUAGGGAUACAUGGGGAUACAUGGGAGCCCAUAGGGAUACGUGGGGAGCCCAUAGGGAGCCAUAGGGAUACAUGGGGAUACAUGGGGAGCCUCAUUAGGGAUGCGUGGGAGCCCAUAGGGAUGCGUGGGAAGCCCAUAGUGUGACUGC